AACCAGAUCACCGGCGGGAUCCCGGCCGGGCUCGGAGCGAUGACGGUGCUGUCGUCGCUGUACCUGGACGGGAACCGGAUCUCCGGCGGGAUCCCGGCCGGGUUGCUCGCGAACAAGGGGUUGGGGAUUUUGAAUCUGAGCCGCAACUCGGUUGAGGGGGCGAUUCCGGACGCGUUCGGAUCCGGAUCGUAUUUCAUGGUGUUGGAUCUUUCGUAUAAUAGGUUGACGGGCCGGGUUCCGGCCUCGCUGUCGAAUGCGAUGUAUGUGGGGCAUUUGGAUCUGAGUCAUAAUAGGCUGUGUGGGCCGUUGCCGAAUGGGGCUCUGUUUAAUGCGUUGGAGGUCGGGUCGUUGGAGUCGAAUGAGUGUCUGUGUGGGUCGCCGCUGCCUGCGUGUCGGUGAAGCGGAGUCGGGUUGGAUGGAUUGAUUGAAUGAAACUGUGUGGGGAAAGUAUUUAUGGUUUUGUGUAUAUUAUAAAUGUGAGAAUUGUAAGGUGUGUGGAGUCGGG
rnacentral:misc_RNA from 1 species